rnacentral:tRNA from 1 species
AGAAAAGUAAGCUAAACAAUAAGCUAAUGGGUUCAUACCCCAUAAAUAGAGCAAGACUCUCUUUUCUA